rnacentral:tRNA from 1 species
GCUGGAGUGGCGGAAUGGCAUACGCGCCGGUCUCAAAAACCGGUGUCCUCACGGGCGUAAGGGUUCGACUCCCUUCUCCAGCA